AAGAGUUUUCUUUAUUUUCAUGACUAUGAAAAUUGUAGAGUCACACUGAAGGCAUCAAGGGCUAUUUGACCAAGAAGGAGAGUGAUGGGGUGCUGCGCCAGAUGACCUGGCCUCCACAGUCACCGGACCUGAACCCAAUCCAGAUGGUUUAGGGGUGAGCUGGACCGCAGACAGAAGGCAAAAGGGCCAACAAGUGCUAAGCAUCUCUCGGGGAACUCCUUCAAUACUGUUGGAAGACUAUUUCAGAUUUGAGGGAAAGAUUAAAAACAAGGAGGUCUGGGAAUGACUGAAGGGAACUGACAGCAGUGAGGGAAGGAAGUAAUCACCAGAAUGUAAAAGGAUGUUGACAGUGCAGGCCCAAGAUGAAGAAGAGGAGGAAGAACACUUAACAAUUUUCUCAUAAACUUUCCAUGUGUUAUAAUAAAAACAAUGAACAUGACUGCAAUAAUAUGCUAAAUGUUAUUAAAAGAUUCCAGUUUGCAAGAAAUCUGAGUGUCUGACUCUACACUAGAGGAACUCUUUUCUGAAGAACAUCAGGUGCUGAGAAGAAGCCUUGUUAUUACAGCAAAACACUGCAUCAAGCCUCCUGUCCUUCCCUCAGAAGAGCCUGUUGUCUGCUGUUGGGGUAAGAAAGACACUCGUCCUCUUCUCUAUCGGCUGUCCGGCAGCUAACUCUGCCUCCUCAGCACUUUCUGAAAGAGACUUCUCCACAGUCAGUAAUCAGAGAUCACAGAUUCUUCUGAGAAAGUCAAUACGCUCAUUUUCUUAAAAACUUUG